CCGUAAAGGUUCAUUCCACGUUAUCAGACGACUUAAUUGUAAAUAUGUGAUUCAUUGAUCUGGUAUGCAGGGGACACGUGACUCGCGAGCAGGUCUGCUAGGUUUACUUCAUACAAGGUUUUAGUAUGCACACAUAUAAACGUACACUUGUGUGCUACUUUCAUCCUAGUCCGAUAGGUAUGUAUGAGAGUCAUUAGACUAGUGUGAUACAUAGUCAAUGCUAAUGAUAUUGUCCCGUUUAGAUUUGAAAAUACAUACGUAAAUUAUUUCGAUGACUUAGAAUUGUUGUAAACUGAAGUGCAUUGACAAAUAUUUUCUUGUUAACUGCGCUACAUUCAAUCAUUACUUUGUAAUUGAGUUCUUAAGAAUUGCCUUAUGAGCGAGAUUUGAAUUAGUGUAAACAUCGUCAAUAAAUGAAAUACCAUAGACGUUGUAUGUGCCUAAGUCAUUUGUAUGCCGGUUUAGGAUACCUAGUCAAGUAGUAUGCGCUCUGGACUGUCGUUCAGUAUCCUCGAUGGUCACGAGUUCAAACCCUGCCCGCUGACAACCCCCGUCCUCAUGUGGAAGGUUUGUGCAAGGAGAUCUAUUGGAUUGCUUUGUAAUGUUAAGCAGACAGUUUUAAAAAAGUACAGGUGGAGUAACGUCUCAAAAUGUCAAGGACAAAACGAUUAAAAUACGUUUCAGGAAAACAAAAGGUUACUAUGAUCUUCGUGCCAGGGUAUCUAUAAAUUGUAUAUUUCUGUUUAGCCCUUUUUUUUUUUUACGCAGAAAUGCAUACUAUUUGUUUAAGCGUGUAUAUAUGUACACAUUUCAUGGUUGUUUCCUUCCAAUAGUCUUUAACCAUCCUGAAUGACUUGUAUGUUCUCUAUAGAAGAGUAACGCCACAUUAGAACAAUCUUUCUUGUAUCCAAACAUUACAAAAACAGCAGAAUGGCGUGAACAGAUCUGAAAGUCUUUUCGUGAGCAGCAGAAGCAGCGUUGCCAGCUUGGGUAACAUCCUUGACUACAUAUAGUCUAUGGGAUCCCUUCAAACAAGUGUUAUCAAAACACUUUGCUAUGACAGCUGUGACAGAUAUGGGAGUUUGAUGAUAAUAAAAGUGUAGCAGGUAUUAG